GAUGAAGAACGCAGCGAAAUGCGAUAAGUAGUGUGAAUUGCAGAAUUCAGUGAAUCAUCGAAUCUUUGAACGCACAUUGCGCCUUCUAGUAUUCUGGGAGGCAUGCCUGUUUGAGCGUCAUUAAACCUCUCUCAAGUAUGAUUACUUGGAUGUGAAGGAAGAGUACCUUAAACUUAAGGAGUGUUCUCCUUUGAAAUUGAUUAGCAGAUGGUAAUGUUAUUAAAUCCCUGAUGUUGUAAGAAAUAACAGUGGUUUUGUAGACUAUUAUCUAGCUUUAAAUUAUAAUUUUUAUUAUGGUUGACCUCAAAUCAGGUAAGGAUACCCGCUGAACUUAAGCAUAUCAAUAAGCGGAGGA
rnacentral:misc_RNA from 1 species